GAUGAAGAACGCAGCGAAAUGCGAUAAGUAGUGUGAAUUGCAGAAUUCAGUGAAUCAUCGAAUCUUUGAACGCACAUUGCGCCCCUUGGUAUCCCGAGGGGCAUGCCUGUUCGAGCGUCAUUUCACCACUCAAGCCUGGCUUGGUGUUGGGCGACGUCCCCUUUGGGGACGCGCCUCGAAACGCUCGGCGGCGUGGCACCGGCUUUAAGCGUAACAGAAUCUUUCGCUUUGGAAGUCGGGGCCCCGUCUGCCGGAAGACCUACUCGCAAGGUUGACCUCGGAUCAGGCAGGGAUACCCGCUGAACUUAAGCAUAUCAAUAAGCGGAGGA
rnacentral:misc_RNA from 1 species